rnacentral:rRNA from 1 species
AUCUAAGCGGGAAACUUGCCUCAAGAUGAGAUCUCACUGGGAACUUGAUUCCCCUGAAGGGCCGUCGAAGACUACGACGUUGAUAGGCUGGGUGUGUAAGCGUUGUGAGGCGUUGAGCUAACCAGUACUAAUUGCCCGUGAGGCUUGACCAUAUAACACCCAAACA